rnacentral:rRNA from 1 species
UGGGGAAUAUUGCACAAUGGGGGAAACCCUGAUGCAGCGACGCCGCGUGAGCGAAGAAGGUUUUUGAAUCGUAAAGCUCUGUCCUAUGAGAAGAUAAUGACGGUAUCAUAGGAGGAAGCCCCGGCUAAAUACGUGCCAGCAGCCGCGGUAAUACGUAUGGGGCGAGCGUUGUCCGGAAUUAUUGGGCGUAAAGGGUACGUAGGCGGUCUAUUAAGUCAGGUGUGAAAGCGUGAGGCUUAACCUCAUUAAGCACUUGAAACUGAUAGACUUGAGUGAAGGAGAGGAAAGUGGAAUUCCUAGUGUAGCGGUGAAAUGCGUAGAUAUUAGGAGGAAUACCGGUGGCGAAGGCGACUUUCUGGACUUUUACUGACGCUCAGGUACGAAAGCGUGGGGAGCAAACAGG